rnacentral:rRNA from 1 species
GACGAACGCUGGCGGCGUGCUUAACACAUGCAAGUCGAACGGAAAGGCCCCUUCGGGGGUACUCGAGUGGCGAACGGGUGAGUAACACGUGAGUAACCUGCCCUUGACUUCGGGAUAACCUCAGGAAACUGGGGCUAAUACCGGAUAGGAAUCCUUGCUGCAUGGUGGGGGUUGGAAAGCUUCGGCGGUUUUGGAUGGACUCGCGGCUUAUCAGCUUGUUGGUGGGGUAGUGGCUUACCAAGGCCUUGACGGGUAGCCGGCCUGAGAGGGCGACCGGCCACAUUGGGACUGAGAUACGGCCCAGACUCCUACGGGAGGCAGCAGUGGGGAAUAUUGCACAAUGGGCGGAAGCCUGAUGCAGCAACGCCGCGUGCGGGAGGACGGCCUUCGGGUUGUAAACCGCUUUCAGCAGGGGCGAAGCUUGUGGUGACGGUACCUGCAGAAGAAGCACCGGCUAACUACGUG